UCCAGGUGAUGAAAUUCAUGACGGGCGGACAUAGCAAACACGUGCUGAAUGUCAUGUUCUGAUGGU
rnacentral:snoRNA from 1 species